UACAGAGGGUGCAAGCGUUGUUCGGAAUUAUUGGGCGUAAAGCGCGUGUAGGCGGCUUUUCAAGUCGGGUGUGAAAUCCCUCGGCUCAACCGAGGAAGUGCGCCCGAAACUGCAGAGCUUGAGUACCGGAGAGGAUGGCGGAAUUCCCCAAGUAGAGGUGAAAUUCGUAGAUAUGGGGAGGAACACCGGUGGCGAAGGCGGCAUCCUGGACCGGCAUUGACGCUGAGGAGCGAAAGCCAGGGGAGCAAACGGG
rnacentral:rRNA from 1 species